GUUCCAUAAAAUAACUGGAUAACUGCAAGGUUUUUAAAAUAAAAUCUAAGAGCUUUAGAGACCUUUUAAGACCUGCACUUCAGAUUUCAGCCUUUAAACUAUUUUUAAGAAAAGGGAAGAGUCAAAAGUAGCAAUUAUUAUAUUAAUUUAAACAAUUAGGCUAUUAUUAAUCAAUUAUUAUAUUCAAUUACAGAAAUAUAUCUUAGUGUCUUAAUCGUUUACAUUUUUAUACUGCAUUAGCAUUUUGUCGAUCCACUGGUUCACAUUUAAAAAUAUGUAGCAAAAACAGCAGACGGGGUUAUUGAAGCAAACUCGUUCUCUGCAAGCAGGGUUCACUUCCGGAUCUAGCAUAAGUGGUUUCCACGGUAACCACAGAACAAAGCAGCACGCCUGACUUUGAAACAUGCAUCGCUCAAGUAUAUUCAAUGAAAUCAUAGCCUUUUGAAGUUUAAUCCACAUACUAAUCUAUAUUGUAAUUCUGUCCCCAAAUUUUUAAGACCUUUUAUAAUUAAGACUUUAUAUCAUUUUAGAGUUUACAUGGCCUUAAAUUUAAACGAUUUAACUGAAGACUUUUUAGUUCAGUGCAAACAUUUCUGUCAUGCAUUUGGCAAAAAGCUUUUGUUGACAAUGCAUUUAACCUUUGAAAUUUGAGGCAAGUGCAACUCUGGCGUCCCCGGUGUUUGUGAGCAGUGAUGUGAUGAGGAUUUAAAUAACAGAUUUCCAAACACUCCAAACAUAUAAGUAUCCCCUUGAAGUUGGAAGAGAAAUGGGAAUCUGUUUACCAUCUUGACUGGAAAAUGCUGUUUUCAUGGCAAUCCACUCCAUGUCAGACUACUAUUACUAUUGGGCCCUGUAAAUAUGGAAGACUCCAAAUCUUUUAUAGAACCAGGGCUGUAGCCGGGGUAUCCAGGGCCCAAUGCAGAUUGUUGCUGUGGGCCCCCCGUGAAAACGCGUUCCGGAAGGAGGGACCCUUCAAGCCUGGGGGCCCUAGAAAUGUCACCACCUUUUGCCCUGCUAGCCACGACCAUGUGUAGAACCAUUGUCUGUCCCAUCCUGUUUCAAAUUAUAUUUAUUUGAACCACUCUUUGAGCUUCUUUCUUUGUGUAAAGGGUAUAGAAAAAAGUAGGGUACAACGGAGCUAACGGCGCCCCUGGGGUAAAAGGCACCUUUGAUAUUAUUUUCAUCUAAACCACUAGAUGGCACAAAAACGUGACGUAACAUUUUCUAAAACAUUUGUUUUUCAAGAUGCAUGUGUAUACAGGUGCUUUUCAAUAAAUUAGAAUGUCGUGGAAAAGUUCA
ensembl:lncRNA